GUGGCGAACGGGUGAGUAACACGUGGGCAAUCUGCCCUGCACUCUGGGACAAGCCCUGGAAACGGGGUCUAAUACCGGAUACUCACUGCCUUGGGCAUCCUUGGUGGUGGAAAGCUCCGGCGGUGCAGGAUGAGCCCGCGGCCUAUCAGCUAGUUGGUGAGGUAAUGGCUCACCAAGGCGACAACGGGUAGCCGGCCUGAGAGGGCGACCGGCCACACUGGGACUGAGACACGGCCCAGACUCCUACGGGAGGCAGCAGUGGGGAAUAUUGCACAAUGGGCGAAAGCCUGAUGCAGCGACGCCGCGUGAGGGAUGACGGCCUUCGGGUUGUAAACCUCUUUCAGCAGGGAAGAAGCGAAAGUGACGGUACCUGCAGAAGAAGCGCCGGCUAACUACGUGCCAGCAGCCGCGGUAAUACGUAGGGCGCAAGCGUUGUCCGG
rnacentral:rRNA from 1 species